rnacentral:rRNA from 2 species
GAUUAAGCCAUGCAUGUGUAAGUGUAAAUAGUUAACUUUAAAACUGCGAAUGGCUCAUUAUAUCAGUUAUAGUUUAUUUGAUGAAUGUUACUACUUGGAUAACCGUAGUAAUUCUAGAGCUAAUACAUGCAUAAAUCCUCGACUUUUGAAGAGGUGUGUUUAUUAGAUGAAAACCAUAGGCUUUUUGCCUUAUUGUGAGUAAUAAUAACGUAUCAUAUCGCAUGCUUCGGUAGCGAUGUGUCUUUUAAGUUUCUGCCCUAUCAGCUUUCGAUGGUAGUGUAUUGGACUACCAUG